UACGUAGGUGACAAGCGUUGUCCGGAUUUACUGGGCGUAAAGAGCGCGCAGGCGGUCGUUCAAGUCGAGUGUGAAAGCCCCCGGCUCAACUGGGGAGGGUCAUUCGAUACUGAUCGACUCGAAGGCAGGAGAGGGUAGUGGAAUUCCCGGUGUAGUGGUGAAAUGCGUAGAUAUCGGGAGGAACACCAGUGGCGAAGGCGACUACCUGGCCUGUUCUUGACGCUGAGGUACGAAAGCGUGGGGAGCAAACAGG
rnacentral:rRNA from 1 species